rnacentral:rRNA from 1 species
GAAUUGACGGGGGCCCGCACAAGCGGUGGAGCAUGUGGUUUAAUUCGAUGCAACGCGAAGAACCUUACCUGGUCUUGACAUCCACGGAAGUUUUCAGAGAUGAGAAUGUGCCUUCGGGAACCGUGAGACAGGUGCUGCAUGGCUGUCGUCAGCUCGUGUUGUGAAAUGUUGGGUUAAGUCCCGCAACGAGCGCAACCCUUAUCCUUUGUUGCCAGCGGUCCGGCCGGGAACUCAAAGGAGACUGCCAGUGAUAAACUGGAGGAAGGUGGGGAUGACGUCAAGUCAUCAUGGCCCUUACGACCAGGGCUACACACGUGCUACAAUGGCGCAUACAAAGAGAAGCGACCUCGCGAGAGCAAGCGGACCUCAUAAAGUGCGUCGUAGUCCGGAUUGGAGUCUGCAACUCGACUCCAUGAAGUCGGAAUCGCUAGUAAUCGUGGAUCAGAAUGCCACGGUGAAUACGUUCCCGGGCCUUGUACACACCGCCCGUCACACCAUGGGAGUGGGUUGC